rnacentral:rRNA from 1 species
GAUGGACAUUGCAAAGAGUGGCGAACGGGUGAGUAACACGUGGGAAACCUACCUCUUAGCAGGGGAUAACAUUUGGAAACAGAUGCUAAUACCGUAUAACAAUAGCAACCGCAUGGUUGCUACUUAAAAGAUGGUUCUGCUAUCACUAAGAGAUGGUCCCGCGGUGCAUUAGUUAGUUGGUGAGGUAAUGGCUCACCAAGACGAUGAUGCAUAGCCGAGUUGAGAGACUGAUCGGCCACAAUGGGACUGAGACACGGCCCAUACUCCUACGGGAGGCAGCAGUAGGGAAUCUUCCACAAUGGGCGAAAGCCUGAUGGAGCAACGCCGCGUGUGUGAUGAAGGGUUUCGGCUCGUAAAACACUGUUGUAAGAGAAGAAUGACAUUGAGAGUAACUGUUCAAUGUGUGACGGUAUCUUACCAGAAAGGAACGGCUAAAUACGUGCCAGCAGCCGCGGUAAUACGUAUGUUCCAAGCGUUAUCCGGAUUUAUUGGGCGUAAAGCGAGCGCAGACGGUUAUUUAAGUCUGAAGUGAAAGCCCUCAGCUCAACUGAGGAAUUGCUUUGGAAACUGGAUGACUUGAGUGCAGUAGAGGAAAGUGGAACUCCAUGUGUAGCGGUGAAAUGCGUAGAUAUAUGGAAGAACACCAGUGGCGAAGGCGGCUUUCUGGACUGUAACUGACGUUGAGGCUCGAAAGUGUGGGUAGCAAACAGGAUUAGAUACCCUGGUAGUCCACACCGUAAACGAUGAGUGCUAGGUGUUUGAGGGUUUCC